ACAGACAACUUCUGCUUUGGUGUGGUAAACACCCUUAUUAAAGCAAGGACAGAAGUGAUAAUAAUUUAGCCAGGUGCCAGUCUACCUCGGUUAAAGCCUUCGCGAAGUCUUGGAAGGGGAACUCAAUUUUUGUCUUCAGACCUAGAUGAUUUUUGUACGGCAGCUGAAAGAAAAGACUUGGCAAGUCGGUGUUUUCCAAGUGGCACCCUCGUAACCAGCCACUGAGGACAGCAUGACUACAUACAGUCCUUUCUUCGAGGAUUUGAACUCUGUUGCGCCGACUCAAGUGGCUGGGGUUGUUGGCUGUUAUUCCUCAGAAUAACAACACCCUUACCAGACACGAUGUGACACCAUAGACCAAGGACCCAAAGAUGGCGAGUCGAGGAGAUGUGUGAGAGAAACGUGACGUUAGUUCAAACAGUCUAUUAAAUUUCGUUCAGGUUUGGGGCAGGUGAUUCAUGAGCCUUACACUGUUAUCCUGGUGCGGCGAGGGGCGGACGAAAGUGUGAAUGUCACACACACAAGCGUGGGGAACCUCUCCCUGACACGAUGUUGCGCUCUCGUCUGAAGCACAAGACCUCAAACAGCAUUAAGGUCCUGUUAUACUACAUUGCAGGUUAUCACAAUUAUAAUCCAAAAAUAAAGUGUGACUGAAGUUGGAAAAAGCUGCAUGUCUAUACCCCGUCGCAUGACCCGUUCCCGACGCUUGAUCAGCUGAAGAAAUUUGUAUUCAAUACCCAAUGGGAUACAUCGUGGAAAACUAAGUCAAAGGUGUUGGUUGGUCUAUUUGCCAUUUAUUUCUGGCUCAUUCUCGGUUUUAAUUUGCUAAAAAAAGUCAUCUAAUCUUCUGAAUCAGUUGACACUUUUUGUAUUUGUCUUAUCAACGAAAAUCUGAUGAGAAAGGGGAAGCUUUAUUUCAGCUCCUCUACCUUGAGAUAGUUAUUUCCAAGAUAAGCGAUUAUUCUGCCGGGGAUAUUAAUGGAUUUCACACCGAUUCCUCUGAAAGAUUACGGUCACGUUUAAAACACUAAUACUUGGCCCUCUCAAUACAAGUGGCCAAACAUUUGAAUUCUUUUUCUGUUCUUUCAACUUCAAACAUGCAUUGUGUCCAAACGUCACACAACAUACGAAGAUCCCAAUAAGGUCGUAUAUUAUGUGAUAUGAAUCUUACUAACGAGUGUGCUGGACUCAUGAACUCUCGUGUAAGACAGAGCAUAAAAUGGGACUGCAACAGAACUUUGCCACGCCUGAGUGAAAGAUGGGGUGUUACAUACUCCAUCAUAUUCUUUUCGAAGUAUAAUAAAUGCAUUUCAUGCUUCAAAGCAUCUUCAUUUCAGGUAAUUACCCUUCUCGUGCAGGUACAGCCUCAUAUAAAGCUAUCAAUUCAAUCUUACCGUAAUCUGCAUGUGAACCACGAAAUAUUCAGAGACGGGUCAGCAAAACUCCCUUGGGCGGUGUUGGGUUAAUUAAUGAAUAAAUUUGAAUUGCGAUGAAGAACUCAAUUACAACAUUUGCAGCACAAACAGACGGACGCGAGCAUCGUUUCAAACAAAUUAUACUCGGUGUUGGUGCACAGAGAUUUCGCAGCAGUUGGCAAGGGCCAAGGAGUGUUUAACUUUUGUAGAAAUUGUGCUCGAGGGUUACCUUUUUGGAUCCCUCUCACCAACCGUGUAUAACAUUUAAGCACAAUCUUGCUUUCACUUUUUAAUGGUGUUUAGAAACUAUUGGAAGUAUUUGAACAUGUUUACAAACUGUUGUCUAUACGAUUUGCUUCAUAUAUUCCCUAGUAUGUCUACUCUGUCCUUAUGGUUAGCAUUUUUAACUUUAUUAACAAGAGAAAACAGCUUCUGAAGCCAACACUGUUAAUUUGGAAAUCAAAACUUG